UGCGUAGGGUGCGAGCGUUGUCCGGAUUUAUUGGGCGUAAAGAGCUCGUAGGCGGUUUGUCGCGUCGGCCGUGAAAUCUCCACGCUUAACGUGGAGCGUGCGGUCGAUACGGGCAGACUUGAGUUCGGUAGGGGAGACUGGAAUUCCUGGUGUAGCGGUGAAAUGCGCAGAUAUCAGGAGGAACACCGGUGGCGAAGGCGGGUCUCUGGGCCGAUACUGACGCUGAGGAGCGAAAGCGUGGGGAGCGAACAGG
rnacentral:rRNA from 1 species